GGAGCCCCAGACCCGGAGGUAACUGGUGUUCCCAUUCUGUCAUCAGGACAGAACACAGAAACCUCACCAUGGAGUUUGGGCUGGGCUGGGUGUUCCUGGUUGCUCUUUUAAAAGGUGUCCACUGUGACGUGCUGGUGGUGGAGUCUGGGGGAGACCUGGUGAAACCUGGGGGGUCCCCCAGACUCACCUGUGUAGCCUCUGGAUUCACCUUCAGUGGCUAUGACAUGAACUGGGUCCGCCAGGCUCCAGGAAAGGGGCUGCAGUGGGUCACAUAUAUUAGUAAUAGUGGAGGUAGCACAAGCUACGCAGACUUCGUGAAGGGCCUAUUCACCAUCUCCAGAGACAACGCCAAGAACAUGCUGUACUGCAGAUGAACAAUCUGAGGGCUGAGGACACGGCCACGUAUU